UACGUAGGGUGCGAGCGUUAUUCGGAAUUACUGGGCUUAAAGGGUGCGUAGGCGGCGCGGAAAGUUGGGUGUGAAAUCCCUCGGCUCAACCGAGGAAUGGCGCCCAAAACUACCGUGCUGGAGGAAGACAGAGGUGAGCGGAACUCAGGGUGGAGCGGUGAAAUGCGUUGAUAUCCUGAGGAACACCGGUGGCGAAAGCGGCUCACUGGGUCUUUUCUGACGCUGAUGCACGAAAGCUAGGGUAGCGAACGGG
rnacentral:rRNA from 1 species